rnacentral:tRNA from 1 species
GAGUGAUUAGCUCAAUUGGUAGAGCAACUCGCUUACAACGAGAAGGUUGAUGGUUCGAGUCCGUCAUUGCUCA